AGCGGCGCACGGGUGCGUAACGCGUAUGUACCUACCCUAUACAGGGGGAUAGCCCGGAGAAAUCUGGAUUAAUACCCCAUGGCUCAGCAUUGAUAAAGAUUUAUCGGUAUAGGAUGGACAUGCGUCUGAUUAGCUAGUUGGGGGUGUAACGGACCACCAAGGCGACGAUCAGUAGGGGUUCUGAGAGGAAGGUCCCCCACACUGGCACUGAGAUACGGGCCAGACUCCUACGGGGGGCAGCAGUAGGGAAUAUUGGGCAAUGGACGAGAGUCUGACCCAGCCAUGCCGCGUGCAGGAAGAAGGCGUUCGCGUUGUAAACUGCUUUUAUCUGGGAAGAAAAGGCCCAUGCGUGGGACAUUGCCGGUACCAGAUGAAUAAGCACCGGCUAACUCCGUGCCAGCAGCCGCGGUAAUACGGAGGGUGCAAGCGUUGUCCGGAUUUAUUGGGUUUAAAGGGUGCGUAGGCGGCUGAUUAAGUCAGUGGUGAAAGUUUUGGGCUCAACCCAGAAAUUGCCAUUGAUACUGGUCGGCUUGAGUAUUGCACGGGUACAUGGAAUUGAUGGUGUAGCGGUGAAAUGCAUAGAUACCAUCAGAACACCGAUAGCGAUGCAUUGUACUGGGCAGCACUGACGCUGAUGCACGAAAGCAUGGGGAGCCGACCAGAAUAGAUACCUGGCUAGUCCAUGCCGA
rnacentral:rRNA from 1 species